UCUCUCUACCUAAUCACUUUCUCUCCCAAGUUCUCAACAAAACAACCACCACCAUCAUCACUCCACUACAACCACCACCGUCAUCGCCGCACCAACACUGCAGCACCACCACCUCCACCAACACCGCAGCACCACCACCAUUGUAGCCCCUCCACCACCGCUGCACCACAUCGGAAAAUGCUAACGAAGAAUGAAAGCCAAAUCGGAGACGAUUAAGGAUUUGGGGGAUGUGAAAGAUUAUAGAUCUGGUUUUGGGGAUUUUGGGGGACGGUGGUGAUUC
rnacentral:lncRNA from 1 species